UCGUUUGCAGAACAAUCAGCUUUCUGGGGCUCUUGAUGUUUUGCAAGAUCUUCCACUCAGAGAUUUGUACUUUCUCAACCAUGAACGUUGAGAAUAAUUUGUUUAAUGGACCUAUACCUGACAAGUUGCUGAGCAUUUCUAAUUUCAAAUUGGCAAUGGUGGAAAAUAGUUUGGGCUGCAUCAGAAGAUUUAAUUUUGUGUUUUUGGAAAUAUUUUGACAUAGGAUUUUGGUAAAUGAUUUGUGAAUUAAAUGUUUAGCAUCAAAAUAUUUGGUGUUGUGUUUUUGUAAAUAUUUUGAUAUAGGAUUUUAGUAAAUGACUUGUUGGUUAAAAGUUUAGCACCAAAAUAUUUGGUUGUGUUUUUGAAAAUAUUUUGACAUAGGAUUUGGUAAUGUAUUUAUGGGUUUGAUGUUAAUAGUUUGUAAGUACUUUGGAAUGCAUGUUUUAGAUUGGCAGGGAAUUGUAAUUAUGUUUAUUGGGA